rnacentral:lncRNA from 1 species
CCCCUGAUCACAAGACGACAACUUUACCAUUGUUCCAAGGCUACCAUAACUCAUCCAUUUUUUUACAACAAAUGACAAAGACAACAACUUUGAAUGUCAAAAGUUAGAAACAGGGAACUUACCCAUAGAUACUUCCUACUAGGCUGACCAUCUAUCUAUGUACAUAAAAAAAUCAAAAAAUUAUCUUAUACAUAUAUAGUUAACACCAUCCUUUCCCCUAGACGACAACUUUACCGUUGUACCAAGGCUACCAUAACUCAUCCAUUUUUCUACAAUAAUGACAAAGACAACAACUUUGAAUGUCAAAAGUUAGAAACAGGGAACUUACCCAUAGAUACUUCCUACUAGGCUGACCAUCUAUCUAUGUACAUAAAAAAAUCAAAAAAUUAUCUUAUACAUAUAUAGUUAACACCAUCCUGCUGCCCCCCCGAUCACAAGACGACAACUUUACCGCCGUUCCAAGGCUACCAUAACUCAUCCAUUGUUCAAUAACAAAUGACAAAGACAACAACUUUGAAUGUCAAAAGUUAGGGAAAAGGGAACUUACCCAUAAAUACCUCCUGCUAGGUUGACCAAUCAAAGCAUACUGAUAAUCCUCAUCAAUAUACAAAACCCAAUAAUCACCACGAUCACAAGACGACAACUUUACCGCCGUUCCAAGGCUACCAUAACUCAUCCACUUGUCAAUACAAAUGACAAGACAACAACUUUGAAUGUCAAAAGUUAGGAAAAGGGAACUUACCCAUAAAUACCUCCUGCUAGGUUGACCAAUCAAAGCAUACUGAUAAUCCUCAUCAAUAUACAAAACCCAAUAAUCACCAGUUACAGGAAUAAUAGGCAAAAAUGGUGGAACAUAAAACCUGACUUUCAAUUUUGCCUCAUCACUAUUAGGAUCAGCCUUAUAAGCAGUGCCUUCAAUAAACC